CUUUUUUCCUGUUGACUCUCCCCAUCCGGCCCUCUGAAUCACCAGACUCCACAGGAAAGCAGCAGAUGUUGACUUUACUUCGUGCAAGCCAACGUCAGCGCACUCCUGUGGAGUGGGGAGAAGGCAGGAAGGGAUUUUCUUCCGGGCAAAGAAGCCAAGCUGUAGGGAAAGAGAUAAGAGUCAUCACCAAAUGCCCUGCCUGGAGACCCUGCCAAAGGCCUUUAGAGGUAUCUGAAGACUUCAGUUUUGUUCUGCUUCCAAAAAUGAGAUUCAAAUUUA